AUGCCUUUCCCCCUCCCGCAACACUUUCCUCCCCUUUUUUUAGAACCAAAAAGCAUUCCGCUUGCUGGUGUUAUUUUAAAGCUGGCACAAUUUAGGCUAAAGGAUGGACGGAAACCGGUUGGGAGGAAUGGGGAAAGACGAGAAGGAAGAAGAGAAGGACAAAAGGGAGAGAGAACUGGAGUUCACAGAAGAAAAACUGUAUUCAUACAAAGUAUUACAUGUGCUUCUGUCUACCAGGAGGGGCCAUUGGUGGAGGAACGUCACGUGACUGAGGGGUGCCAAUGUUAUUCUUUAAGGGUGUCAAGACCCUGUCAGUUUGUGAAAU
rnacentral:lncRNA from 1 species